GGAGGCGUCCGGGUGCCUGGUGGACCCCCCGGUCUUCAAAACCGGUGAAGCGGCUGAUCCCGCUUGGCGGGUUCGAUUCCCGUCCGCCUCCG
rnacentral:tRNA from 1 species